UACGGAGGGGACUAGCGUUGUUCGGAAUUACUGGGCGUAAAGCGCACGUAGGCGGAUUGUUUAGUCAGGGGUGAAAUCCCGAGGCUCAACCUCGGAACUGCCUUUGAUACUGGCAAUCUCGAGUCCGGAAGAGGUGAGUGGAAUUCCUAGUGUAGAGGUGAAAUUCGUAGAUAUUAGGAAGAACACCAGUGGCGAAGGCGGCUCACUGGUCCGGUACUGACGCUGAGGUGCGAAAGCGAUGGGGAG
rnacentral:rRNA from 1 species